GCAGCAGCUACAGCAAAGUAAGUCACCUGCUUCUGGUUUUUCUCACAUUCACUUUAUAUUGAGCUGUGACUGCCACAGAAAGCUCUGACACGCGGAAUAAAACUAGGAAACAGACCUCAAUGAAAAUGAUCCCAGAAAGUGGGAGUUACCAGCGCGGGGUUCAGCAGUGCUUCCGGCUGACGCGUUUGGCCUGUCUGCAGCGUUGUGAGAAAGCUGAUUGAAAAAGGAAAACAUAAGCCCAUCCUGGCAAGAGGUAUAUAUUUCCUUGCUUGCUUCUAGAUCUAUCUUUCAAAUCCAAGCAAAUCCAAAACAUCUGCAAGAGAAAUCAACUAACCAAUAAUGGUUCAAUGAAGCUGGGGGUCCUUACGGUUCCUUGAGAGUGUGAAGUAUUACAGCCAAGCUGUCCCCGAAUGCUGGAAAUCUAACCCAAGUUUCAUGCUAGAGACUCUUCCCUCUGCAGUAUGAAAUGCAGCCACCCUCCAUGCAUUUGGGUACGCUGAACAGAGCCCACUCCGGAACCUCUCCUGUUGCCAGAGUGUCAU